GACAGAGGCCUCAAGCGUUAGGCGGAAUCACUGGGCUUAAAGCGUGUGUAGGCGGAUCGUUAAGUGUCUUGUGAAAUCCCACGGCUCACCCGUGGAACUGCUGGGCAUACUGGCGAUCUUGGGCCAACUAGGGGCAGCCGGAACAAGCGGUGGAGCGGUGAAAUGCGUAGAUAUCCGGAGGAACACCAAAGGCGAAGGCAGUGUCCUGGGGAGUACCUGACGCUCAGGUGCGAAAGCCAGGGGAGCGAACGGA
rnacentral:rRNA from 1 species